UGGAGCGUGUGGUUUAAUUCGAUGCUACACGAAAAACCUUACCAGGGUUUGACAUGCAAGUGGUAGGAAUCCGAAAGGUGACCGACCCUUCGGGGAGCUUGCACAGGUGCUGCAUGGCUGUCGUCAGCUCGUGUCGUGAGAUGUUCGGUUAAGUCCGCUAACGAGCGCAACCCUCGUCGUGUGUUAUACGUGUCACACGAUACUGCCGGUAUCAAGCCGGAGGAAGGUGGGGAUGAUGUCAAGUCAGCAUGGCCUUUAUAUCUUGGGCA
rnacentral:rRNA from 1 species